rnacentral:rRNA from 1 species
AUGGCUGCACUGCUCUUUCUAGCCCUUCUUUCAUCUCUCUCCUUCCACCUUUGCUCUUGCGUUUCUGCUUCCCCAUGGCAGACCAUGACCACCGGCUCAUACAUGAGACCAGAAGACCAUGACAGAAUCUUUCUCCUCUCACCAGACACCACCUUCUCCUGCGGCUUCCAUCGAGUUGGGACAAAUGCUUUCACCUUCUCCAUCUGGUACACCGCCAUGAAAACGGUUGUCUGGACGGCAAAUCCCUACUCCGCAGCAAAUGGCUACUAUUCCCCGGUGAACCUUCACGGCUCCAGAAUAUCGCUGAACCAGGAUGGAAACCUGGUCCUGGCAGAUACAAAUGGCUCCAUGGUAUGGGAAAGCAAGACAUCUUCAGGUAAGCACACAAUUGUUUCCCUGCUCGACACUGGCAACCUUGUAAUCAAUGAUUCGAGCAAUAAAGUCGUAUGGCAGAGCUUUGAUUCACCAACAGACACCUUGCUCCCUUGGCAGAAACUCAAGAAAGACAUAAGGUUAGCCUCUGGUUACCAUCACCUCUACUUUGACAACGACAAUGUCUUGCGCCUGUUGUAUGAUGGCCCAGAUAUUACAAGCAUCUACUGGCCAAGUCCAGAUUACGAUGCACAGAAAAAUGGGCGCAAUAGAUAUAACAGCACCAGGGUCGCAUUUCUGGACGACAAGGGUAAUUUUGUGUCAAGUGAUGGGUUUAAAAUAGUGGCUUCAGAUUCAGGCCCUGGGAUCAAGAGGAGGAUUACAAUUGAUCAUGAUGGCAAUUUUAGAAUGUACAGCUUGGAUGCGUCAGCAAGGAAAUGGGUGGUUACAGGGCAGGCUGUAAUACAGAUGUGCUAUGUGCACGGAUUGUGCGGCAAGAAUGGGCUUUGUGACUACUCAGAAGGCCUUAAAUGUAGAUGUCCUCCAGAAUAUGUGAUGGUUGAUCCAACAGACUGGAACAAGGGAUGCAAACCAACAUUCACAAUUGGCAGCAAUCAACCACAUGAUAACUUUACAUUUGUUAAGCAACCUCAUGCAGACUUCUAUGGCUUUGAUCUGGGUUCUAAUCAAUCCAUCUCAUUUGAAGCAUGUUGGGACAUUUGCCUCAACAGCAGCUCAUGUAUAUCUUUCACAUACAAGGGUGGAGAUGGUUGGUGUUAUACUAAAAACAUACUCUACAACGGUCAGGUGUACCCAUAUUUCCCAGGAGACAACUACAUGAAAGUACCAAAGAGUUUCAAUGGUUCAGCGUCCUCGAUCUCCAAACAGGAAGGCCUAACCUGCAGACCCAGUGGUUCAGAGAUUAUGCUAGGAUCAGCAAAUAUGUAUGGAAUCAAGAAGGACAACAUAAAGUGGAUAUACUUAUAUGUCUUUGGUGCAAUACUGGGAGUUCUAGAGUUGCUUGUCAUUGUGACAGGAUGGUGUCUUUUUUUCAGAAAGAGUAACAUGCCCAAAUCAAUGGAGGAUGGAUACAAGAUGAUAACAAACCAGUUCAGGCGGUUUACAUACCGAGAAUUGAGGGAAGCAACUGGAAAGUUCAAAGAAGAGAUUGGGAGAGGGGGUGCUGGAAUUGUUUACAGAGGAGUACUUGAAGAUAAGAAAAUAGUGGCAGUAAAGAAACUCACAAAUGUCCAACAGGGAGAAGAGGAAUUCUGGGCAGAAGUGACUCUAAUUGGAAGGAUCAAUCACAUAAAUUUGGUCAGGAUGAUGGGAUUUUGCUCAGAAGGGAAAAACAGAUUAUUAGUAUAUGAGUAUGUGGAGAAUGAGUCACUGGACAAGUACCUCUUUGGCGAGAGAAGUACUGAAAGUCUGCUCGAUUGGAACCAAAGGUACAAGAUCGCUGUGGGUGCAGCAAGGGGUCUUGCUUAUCUUCAUCAUGAAUGCCUUGAGUGGAUCGUCCAUUGUGACGUGAAGCCAGAAAACAUACUCCUAACUCGAGAUUUCGGUGCCAAAAUAGCAGACUUUGGACUAGCCAAGCUUGCGAAGCGAGACAGCGCUAGCUUCAAUUUCACCCAUAUGAGAGGCACAAUGGGCUACAUGGCACCAGAAUGGGCAUUGAAUACCCCGAUCAAUGCGAAGGUUGAUGUUUACAGCUACGGUGUUGUGCUUCUGGAGAUUGUGACUGGAGCUAGGGUUUCAAGUGGCAUAAUGGUCGACGGAAGACAAGUGGAGUUUCCAGACUUCAUCCAGGAGGCCAAACAGAUUCUGGCUACUGAGAGGAUCACUGAUCUAGUGGAUCCCAGAUUGAAAGGGAAUUUCGAUCUAGAGCAGGCAACUGCAAUAGUGAGAAUAGCUGUUGCAUGCCUUGGAGGUAGAUGCGAGAGGCCGACAAUGGACGAGAUUCUGAAGGCUCUUAUGUCAUAUGAUGAUGAAGACGACCAUCCUGCCUAUUCAUAUUGA